ACAGAUCUGAAGUUUCAGAAGAAUAACGAUGUGGCAGUACAAAGAAAAAAAAAACUACUGAAGAGAUGUUUGGAUGGUUCCAAGAUGCUUUGAACAACAUUCAGCAUCCUUGCACUGCCUUAGGCACUGGUAAUGAGCCAAAGACUUCAGCCAUCAGUCUGGGCAGCUCCAGAGAUGCAAGGAAACAAUCUUACAAACUAAGGCACAACCUUUAACUGAGCAACAUGUGGAAGGAUCCCACCUUUGGAAGGAUCAUUACAGCUAGGAACACACAGCCUGGGAGGUCUCUGCAGAGCACUGAUGGUAACUUUUGACAUGGAUGGUGGAAGAGCCAUUAAGGAGACGUGUGCUGCUGGACCUCAAACUGUCUAAGAAAGAAGGAUUGGUUUGGGAUAUGAGACCUGGGAGUAGCCUUGGUUGUGGUGACCAUGAGAUGGUGGAGUUCAGGAUCCUGUGUGGAAGAAGCAGGACAGUUCUAUUACACCUUGAAAAUAUGCUUCUGUGAAGCAUAUUUUUUGUAGAAA